UACGAAGGGGCGAGCGUUGUUCGGAUUUACUGGGCGUAAAGGGCGCGUAGGCGGCGCGAGAAGUCGCGUGUGAAAGCCCCGGCUCAACUGGGGAGGGUCACGCGAUACUGCUCGACUCGAAGGCAGGAGAGGGAAGUGGAAUUCCCGGUGUAGUGGUGAAAUGCGUAGAUAUCGGGAGGAACACCAGUGGCGAAGGCGGCGCUCUGGGCCGGUACUGACACUGAGGAGCGAAAGCGUGGGUAGCAAACAGG
rnacentral:rRNA from 1 species